rnacentral:tRNA from 1 species
CAGAAAAUAGUUUAAUAAAAAUAAUAAUUUUGGAGAUUAUUGAUAAAUGUUCCUAUUUUUUUCUGA